CAGAUGAUCGCGCCUAUAAGUACCGAAAGGUCAUAGGUGAGGAAAGUCCGAGCUUCAUAGGGCAGGGUGCCGGAUAACGUCCGGUGGAGGUGACUCCAAGGCUAGUGCAAUAGAAAUAUACCGCCAGAUUCAUCUGCUUGCAGAUGUUUUGGUAAGGGUGGAAAGGUGGUGUAAGAGACCACCGCUUGUUUGGUAACAAACAAGGCUCUGUAAACCCCACUCGAAGUAAGACCGAAUUAAAAGCGAUACGGUUGCCCGCCGUGCUUUGGGUAGGUCGCGAUUUGUCUUUGACAAAUGAGCUAUAUGGUAACAUGUAGCAAAGAUAGAUGAUCAUCGAAUACAGAACUCGGCUUAUAGUGCUGCUCA
rnacentral:RNase_P_RNA from 1 species